rnacentral:lncRNA from 1 species
UGUCGUGUUUUGAAAUCCCGGACCUGCGUAGAAAUGUACAAUGUACUUCCUUUUUCCAGUCUCGUUUGUAUGAAACUUUGAGUAAAAUAUAUAUUUAUCAGUCUAGUAUAAAAUAGGAAGGAACGCGCAAUACCAAUUUCAUUUUUAAUAAUUCCUUGAUAUGAAAAAACGUUACCUGAUGAUAGCGUUUCUUUGUUUACAUUGCAUAUGACGUCAUAAUUUAAAUAACGUCACAACUAAAUCCCUAAUAACAGAACCAAAAUCGGAAACGUUACGGUAUUUCCGUUUCUUUUUUUUUUAAACAAAUAUUU